AUCCUUUUGUGGUUCGCAAGAAUGACGGUUGGGUGUUCAUGCCAUUGUGUGACAUGUGCCUUUCCGAAACCUUAUUACAACCUUGGCACACUGCCUUCCUGAUG
ensembl:snoRNA